UCACUCAUCAUUCCUGCUGUAUACACCUAUUGUAAUAUCACAGUCCUCCAAUAUAAAUUCCAUUAUUGUCCCUUUCUCGUGUUGCCAUCCUAACCAUCGUAAACAUGCCGCACGCAGAUUCGUCGUAUUUCGCGCCUGGCUUGACAAAAACAGAAGUUUAUAGUCAGGUCCUCGAACAAGCAAAAGGCUUGCUGGAUGGUCAACGGAAUUGGGUGAGGUACGCUUGUAUCUAACUACAUCCUUGGAGGCAUUGCAAUUGAGCCACUCCUCACUGUGAAUACAGCAACCUUGCCUUAUCUCAGCAAGCUCAGACGCUUCUCAGGAUAAUUGCUGUUUUAACACUGAUUUGAUGAUUAGUCACUUUUUAAAGAAGCUAAUCUCAAAUAAGUAAUCAACUAACCCAAAAUAGUCAUAUCACAUGAUGUGCAAUUAUCCUGCGAAACGUCUGAGAAAAAACGGUUCCAGUUUGUUAGCAACACGGGAACGAUUUGCUCUAUACCUUGUGUAUGGGUGAGGAUAGCAAACCAACACCAUCUAUUCAGCAUCUCUGUACCACCUUAGGAUCUAGAGAAAUCAAUGUUCUCGCGAUGGUAUCAAUUUUUAUUUUCAUAUUCCCAUUUAUUAGAUAUGAAGUAUCACCUCAAAGUGAAUCCAUUUUUUUUUGAACAUGGGAAGGAUUUGCUAUUUGCUUGAUUUCAACAAGAAAUAAAGUGACCAUUUUCAACA
rnacentral:sRNA from 1 species